UGAAGUUGGACACUUAACUGACUGAGCCACCCAGCGGCCCCAGUUGUGAUUCUUUUCUAAAAGUUAUUCCACUGACCUUCCAGCUUAAAAUUUGGAGGCAAAUUUUCCUUAACAGUAUAUCAAGUAUCAAUAUCUUCAAAUGUUGAUAUGCCAUUAGAGCGUUAAGUCCCAUUAAUUCACAAUUUAGUAUCAUAUACACUACAUACUCAAAUUUUCAAUCUUUUACAGCACGUUAACAAAGUUACUAGGAAACUGGACUACCAUGACAAAGAUGCUACAGAAUGCAUCAGAUUCUGACGGGGAGAGCCAAGAUCAAGGGGUGGUUUUCUUUAGGAAACAAUUCUACCAAAAACAACAUGGGAAUAGAAGUAAUUUAAGAUGUUCAAGACAAAUUAAAUGCACGACUGACUCCAAAUUGCCAUUUAGUAUGCUUGAGAUUGGAAGAGCACA